CUUAGCAACGGGAGUCGGCGGCAUUGGCAACCGGAGGUCAUCUUUAAAGGGCCAGGAGUACGUGGUGCGGCCUUCUGGAAGUUCCCGCCGAAACCAGACUGAACAUCCUUUAGAGACAAAAGGUGAGAAAACUGAAGCCCAGAGAGGCUUGGUGAUUUAUCCAGGUUAACACCACCAGGACGUGGGAGAGAGACACUGAAAGACCCGAGUCCUGCCGUGCCAACAUGCUUGGGACCGACCUGCACCACCCUCUCUCAUCAAGCCCUGGUCCGGGCUGGGCUUAGCCUGAGCCCUCGGAUCCUGGAGUUCCUGCAAUGCCAAGUCGCAAGAGGCUGACACUGCCUCGAAUAUUCAUCGUCAGAAAGAAUGGCAACAGGUAGGCAGGAAGGGGAUCCGACUGGGAGGUAAGCAUGGGAGAAUUAAGCCCACCACAAGCCUUUCCAGUGCUCCCAAUGUCUGUAAAUGUAGCUCACAAGCCUGAAGCCUGUGAUUGAUUUGUGGCAGCUCUUCCAGGAGGAGCCUGGCAGCCUCAGAAACCUUUUCUUAAGUUGCCUGAGUCAGCAGGGCCUACCUGGAUGAAAAGGCUCCUCCAGAGCCUUCUGGAUGCCCAGGAAAUUCAGAGUGCAGGGCUGGCCUUUGGCCUGUGUGUGGUGCAGCUGCCUCAGUUUCUCUGCUGGCAGCAUUCUAGAUCCCUCAGCUUUAACCAG
rnacentral:lncRNA from 1 species